UCCGUCCUCACUUCCCUCACCGCCCGCUUCCCUCAAGGCUCGAGACCCGAACGUAGAGGUGCUUCGGCCUAGAAUCAUCUUCUCACAGACUUCCAGCACACCGCCCACACGUACACGAGACAGGAGAAGCGGGUUUUUUUAUGCCGGUGCAUUUGAUACCACAAUGCUUGCCCACACGUUUUCUUGCUUAACCGCCCAGUCCGACUCCUUGGGGCAUGGCUGCCCAAUGAUCCACGCUAUGGAACGCGGGAUGUGCGUUCUCGUCGAAAGACUAAUAUGUGCCAAGUGCGACAAGAUCCCGCAUGUACGCGCCCAUUUUGACACUUUCCGCCCUCAUGCUUGUGCGAGACGGCUUGGCGUCGUUGCCAGAAACGAAUCCUCCCUCUGCCACAGACGCCCACCCACUGGGGUCUUCUUCUUCUAAGCACGCUCCAUUGGACACGUGUUUUCUUCAUGUACUACUUGCCUUUCCGUAUACCGCCAUCUUGUUCCUCCUUACCGUACACAUCCAAAAG
rnacentral:misc_RNA from 1 species